GCGCAAAAAAGCCCCCUCUGGUUAUAUAAGAGAGAUUCCCAGCCUGGUACGUUCUUUUGCAUCCACCUCGCCUUCUAUCCAGCAGCUUUGGUCCCAUGCGUCCUCCUCAUCCGAUGUCAUCCCGCCUCGGGAAUUCGGGGUUAUUACUGUGUGUGGUUAGCGUGAUCCAAAGGUACAGAAUGGAUCUUGAAGGAAAGGGUCGUUGCGCGGUCUCCAAAGGAACCCCGUGUAGACAUCGAGAACCUUUGGCCUCCUGACCCCUGGGGUUUACUGUUGGCAGAAAGCAGACUUUGAGUGGAUCCAGAUAAAUCCUUUUCCCCAGGUUUACUGUUGGCAGAAAGCAGACUUUGAGUGGAUCCAGAUAAAUCCAGGCGUGGGGAAAUGAUUGAAGUGAUGUGACAUUUCUCCUAAAUGCCCUGCUCACAUGGCUGAAUAGACAUUGAAUUCGGAGAAUGGAGGAGGGCAGGAACCCUGUGUGCCAUUGGUCAGAAAGAUUGAUUAUAGUUGGAUCUUCUCCUUGGCUUGGUUCAGUCUGUCCAGUAGCAGUUUCUGACCCAUGGAGUUUGAAAUACAAGGCCUCUUGGGGAAGACUGACCCUGUAUUUUCCUGAUAAAACAUAAUAAAUUUUGUAGGCUUCCUAUCUGGAGAAGGAAAAUAAAAAGUUUUUUAAAUCAAAA